UUCAGACCGUGCCUAUGGCAACGGCUGAACCUUGACAACAACGAUUGCAAGUAUUUAUUUAAGAUAUGUCAGCCAAGGGAAAGCAAGAAAGUAAGAUGUCAGAAGAGAAGCUCUUUUUCCUUGGGAGCUGAGUGUCCCAAGCUGUCUCUUUUUUAGCAGAUGGAAUAAUCGUAUGAUCCAAUCCCCAUGGCAACCGCAGCUG